UGUAGCCACAUCACAUUGAAACAACCAUUCCUGUAUAAUCACUGAAGUUAAGCAACAUUGAGCCUGGUCAGUACCUAGAUAGGUGAUUGCUUGAGAAUACCAGGUGCUGUAAG